rnacentral:piRNA from 1 species
CAGCAAAACGGUAAAUGCUUCAGGACAGCCC